ensembl:lncRNA
GGGAUAAGAGACCUGCACAAUGCUGGAAUGGGCUACAGACAAUUAGCAAGAUCUGUUGGUGCGAGUAUUCAGAACUGGAAGAAAUACACUGCUCAGAAACAUUUUAAUCAGAUUCUAGCUUCAAGUCAAUGAAAUGUCUGAGAUAUUGAUCUCAUCAAUUAGUUCAGUUGUAUUUAUAUAGUGCAAAAUCCCAGGAGGAGUCGUCUCAAUGCGCUUUAUAUAGAAAGGUAAAGACCCUACAAUAAUAAUAAUAAUAAUAAAACAUACCACCAAGGCAACAAAGGUGUGGUUAAAGAAAAUUAAUGUCAUCGAGUGGCUUAGCCUCCCCCUCCCCCAGGAAAUCUGUGGAGGGAGGUGAUGCUUCAAGUUGUCGAGUGUAAUCCAAGAAACCAAAUAGUCUGGCUGACAUUCUGUCUCUACUACUAUAAAAUUAGAGACUGUUCUUUGGAAGUAAGCAAAGUUACAAAUUCAGACGAGUAUCAAAUAAUUUUCCUCUAGUGGAUUCAUUAUAUUGGAAUUAUACUCAAAAGAAAACGAGUCUUACCUGGCGGGCUUGACUAAACUAGUUUGUGUUUUCUAAUUUUUUUCCAACCUGUUCUGGCUGUGCGAAUAAAUAUGCGAAUAAACAUGCAAGGCAAGGCAAGGCAAAUUUAUUUGUAUAGCACAAUUCAACAACAAGGUGAUUCAAAGUGCUUUACAGAGACAUUAGAAACAAAAACAAAUAAAAAGCAUGAUUUAAAAUUGAUUAAAACAAGCAAACAAACAAACUAACUAAACACACACAUUUCACACCUGUUCGCGCGAUCUGAACCGUUUUCGUAAGGGGAGCUACCAGUCCUUCUGUGGACGAGCUACUUUCUAUUUUAAAUUCCCUGAAUUUAAAAUACUCUCUAGACCCAGUCUAGACCCAGCUGGGGAGCUACCCAGAGCUCUAAACCCACUUAACUAACAAACAAACAAACAAACAAACAAACAAACAAACAAACAAACAAACAAACAAACAAACAAACAAACAAACAGUAUAUAAAAUCCAAACAAACAAACAAACAAACAAUAAAAUCCAAACAAACAAACAGUAUAUAAAAUCCAAACAAACAAACAGUAUAUAAAAUCCAAA